GUGGGGAAUCUUCCGCAAUGGGCGAAAGCCUGACGGAGCAACGCCGCGUGAGUGAAGACGGCCUUCGGGUUGUAAAGCUCUGUUAUAUGGGACGAACGGGUGUAUGGUCAAUACCCAUACGCCGUGACGGUACCGUAAGAGAAAGCCACGGCUAACUACGUGCCAGCAGCCGCGGUAAUACGUAGGUGGCAAGCGUUGUCCGGAAUCAUUGGGCGUAAAGGGCGCGCAGGCGGUUCGGUAAGUCGGUCUUAAAAGUGCGGGGCUUAACCCCGUGAUGGGAGUGAAACUGCCGGACUGGAGUGUCGGAGAGGAAAGCAGAAUUCCUAGUGUAGCGGUGAAAUGCGUAGAUAUUAGGAGGAAUACCAGUGGCGAAAGCGGCUUUCUGGACGACAACUGACGCUGAGGCGCGAAAGCCAGGGGAGCAAACGGGAUUAGAAACCCUAGUAGUCC
rnacentral:rRNA from 1 species